UAUAUAUCAAAAUAUCAAAACGCUGUUAAUAUUAAAUUAAAAUAUGGAUACAAUAGCGUUUUUGGAUGAUAGUAGUGACGAUGAUUCCUUGGAUAUCCGGCUAGAAAGAAGAGUUUUGCGCUAUAAAUCUGAAAAUGUGUUACAAAUGAACGAUAGAGAGUAAGUUCAAAAAUAAAGAAAUACCAGGAUGAAACUUUAUUAAUAAUUUUACAGCUUUCAAAAAAAUUUUCGCUUAAAUAAGGCAGCGUUCAAAUAUAUUUUGUCUGAGUUGGAGUCUGCCAGCUCUGAAAGCGGUCGUCAGGGAUCACUUUCUGCAAAAGAUAAACUUUCUGCUUGUUUGAGGAUUUUUGCAGAAGGCAGCUAUCAGCAUAGUGUCGGUAAGGAUUUUAAUAUCAACAUAGCAUAAUCAACGUUUUGUAAAGUGCUGGAUGUGUUUUUGAACAAGCUAGAACAUUUGUUGUGCAGUAAAUGGAUAUCCAUGAGCAUGAAGAAAAAAUAGCGAAAAUGACUUUCUAUGAAAAAUGUGGUAUUCCAAAUGUGACAAUGGCUGUCGAUGGUACUCAUGUUAAAAUUAUUGCUCCAAAUUGCGAUAAACACCUUUUUUAUAAUCGUAAAGGAUACUUCAGCAUUAAUGUUAUGAUUAUAUGUGAUCACGAUCAGAAAAUACGAUAUGUAUCAUCACAAUAUCCUGGAAGUUGUCAUGAUUCACACAUAUGGGAAAUGAACACUGCAAAACCAUUUCUUCAAUCAAAAUAUAACAAUAGAAGAAAUUGCCUCGUUUUGGGUAAACAAAUUAAAAAAUGAUCAGCAACAAAGAUGUGCAAUUCUAUUUAAAAAAAUUGUUUAGGUGAUAAGGGAUAUCCUUUACAGCCAUGGCUACUAACACCCUUCAGAGAGCCAAUUAAUUCUCAAAGAAAAAGUAGGUUUAAUACUGCACAUUCUAAAGGAAGAAUUGUAGUAGAAAGAACUAUUUGAUUGCUCAAAUCUGUUUUUAGGUGUCUUAACAAUGAAAGGGGACUACAUUAUAAUCCAGAAAAGUCUGCAAAAAUCAUAAAUCUCUGUUGCGCGCUUCACAACAUUAGACUCCAUUAUAAUAUUACAAACGAAGAAUUUGAUAUGCCAUUUCCUGAAGAAGAAGAUACAGUAAACAAUCCUAUUGACGAUGAUAUCAGCGGGGAAGCAAAUGAAAUAGGAAAUGAAAUACUACAAAACUUUUAAUUUGUACUUCAAUUUUAUUUAGUUAAUAUACACUUGGCCGCAUAAGUUUGCGUACAAACUA